GUGGGGAAUCUUGCACAAUGGGGGAAACCCUGAUGCAGCGACGCCGCGUGAACGAUGAAGCCCUUCGGGGUGUAAAGUUCUUUCGACAGGAACGAUUAUGACGGUACCUGGAGAAGAAGCUGCGGCUAACUACGUGCCAGCAGCCGCGGUAAUACGUAGGCAGCAAACGUUGUUCGGAGUUACUGGGCGUAAAGAGUAUGUAGGUGGUUUGCUAAGUUUGGUGUGAAAUCUCCCGGCUCAACUGGGAGGGUGCGCCGAAUACUGGUGAACUUGAGUGUGGGAGAGGGAAGCGGAAUUUCUGGUGUAGCGGUGAAAUGCGUAGAUAUCAGAAGGAACACCGGUGGUGUAGACGGCUUCCUGGACCACAACUGACACUGAGAUACGAAAGCGUGGGGAGCAAACAGGAUUAGAUACCCCAGUAGUCC
rnacentral:rRNA from 1 species